rnacentral:tRNA from 1 species
GCGGCGUUGGUGUAAUCUGGCUAGCAUUGAAGACUGUGGAUCUUCCGGUCCGGGUUCAAAUCCCGGGCGCCGCC